UGGGGAAUAUUGCACAAUGGGCGCAAGCCUGAUGCAGCCAUGCCGCGUGUGUGAAGAAGGCCUUCGGGUUGUAAAGCACUUUCAGCGGGGAGGAAGGCGAUAAGGUUAAUAACCUUGUCGAUUGACGUUACCCGCAGAAGAAGCACCGGCUAACUCCGUGCCAGCAGCCGCGGUAAUACGGAGGGUGCAAGCGUUAAUCGGAAUUACUGGGCGUAAAGCGCACGCAGGCGGUCUGUCAAGUCGGAUGUGAAAUCCCCGGGCUUAACCUGGGAACUGCAUUCGAAACUGGGAGGCUAGAGUCUUGUAGAGGGGGGUAGAAUUCCAGGUGUAGCGGUGAAAUGCGUAGAGAUCUGGAGGAAUACCGGUGGCGAAGGCGGCCCCCUGGACGAAGACUGACGCUCAGGUGCGAAAGCGUGGGGGGCAAACAGG
rnacentral:rRNA from 1 species